AGGGGUGGAAGUGGCUACAUGUGUGGAUGGACAGAUUAAUGCAUGCGUAGAUGGGCAGGUGAAUGGGUGGGUGGAUGGAUGGAUGGACGGACAGAUGGACAGAUGGAUGGGUGAACAGAUGGAUGGAUGGACAGAAAGAUGGACAGAUGGGUGGAUGAAUAGGUGGAUGGAUGGACAGACAGAAAAAUGAACAGAUGGGUGGAUGGAUGGACAGAUGGAUGAACAGAUGGAUGGAUGGAUGGAUGGACAGAUGGAUGAUGGAUGGAUGAACAGAAAGAUGGACAGAUGAGUGGACAAAUGGACAGACAGAUGAACAGAUGGAUGGAUGGAUGGAUGGAUGGACAGAUGGAUGGAUGGAUAGACAGAAAGAUGGACAGAUGGGUGGGUGGAUGGAUGGAUGGAUGGGUAGAUGGACAGGUGGAUGGAUGGGUGGAUGGAUAGGUAGAUAGAUAGAUGGAUAGAUGGGUGGAUGGAUGGGUGGAUGGAUGGCCAGACAGAUAGAUGGACAGAUGAAUGGCAAAUGGGCGGGUGGGUGGGUGGAUGGUUAGAUGGAGGAUGAACGGAAAGACAGAUGGAUAGAUGGAUGAUGGUUGGAUGCUUAGAUGCAUGGACAGACGUGUAGAUAGAAGAAUGAACAGAUGGAUUCAUGGAUGGAUGGACGGGUGGAUGGGUGGAUGGAUGGAUGAUUAGGUAGAUGGGCAGCUGAGUAGAUGGGUAAAGGGAUGAAUGGGAUGGAUGAGUGCGUGGCUGGUGGGUGGCUGGACCAACUUCAGGUGGGAGGAGGAGCAGAAGGCAGACUGAGAGGAUGACUGUGGCCUUCAGAAGUAACUUGGGACCUGUGAGUAACUGUGAGAUCCCAUCUCAAAAAAGAAAAAAAGAAAAAAAGAAUCUGCCCGAUUGGGAGCAGGGUACACGGCUCCGUGACCAAGCACUUGCCUACCAUGCUCGAGGCCCUGGGUUCCAUCCCUCACACCAAAAAAUAAUACUAAUAAUAAUCCUGGUGCCUAUGGGUUUGUAAUUUGCAUUUUCCAUUUAAGACCCUGUAGUGAUGAUUACCUCGCACAGAGUCGGGACCCUAUCAGAUAGUCCUCCCACACAAGCUGCAGCAGGACAUACUUGUUUAGCAGAAAAGUAUGUUGUUCCUCUGGCUGGAUCAGCCAAAGCCCUUGCCCAGCCAUCUCCUUACCUUGGAGAGUCAUAGAGUUGGAGGAGGAGCAGGAGAAGAAGGUACAAUCUCAGAAGCCAGCCUGUAAGAGGCGGCUGCCUUCAGCUCUUCAUCACAUGCACCGUGUAGCAACACUGCUCUUGGCUGGCUCUGUCCCCAAAACCAACACAAGAAGAAAUGUUAAAAGCAAAAAACACCGAAUUCCUCAAAAAAAAAAAAGAGUCCACAGGAAGGAACAUACUAGGAAAUAGCAGGAAUUCAGAUAUGAGUAUAGGACGCCGUGUGGUCAUCCCUCACUGUCGCUUAGAAGAAGGAAAAGUGAAGACAACCCAAGACUGAGAAGAAAUAGAGUCCAGGAUGGCUCCCGCCCCCAGACUCGGGACAAAACCGAGACCCGACACUGGCUACGCGAUUGCUCUGCCAGCCUAGGCCCUGUUUGACAGUAUCUUGGGCCAGGCGAGGUGGCCCACGUCUGUCAUCCCAGAGGCUCGGGAGGCUGAGGCAGGAGGAUCAUGAGUUCAAAGCCAGCCUCAGCAACAGCGAGGCACUAAGCAACGCAGUGAGACCCUGUCUCUAAAUAGGGCUGGGGAUGUGGCUCAGUGGUCAGGUGACACUGAGUUCAACCCCUGGUACAAAAAACAAAAACAAAAAAACAGUAUCUUGAAGGCAACCCAGAAAUUCAACCUUAUGAAUUAUUAAGAGUAACAACGUAGGCAACAGAGCAAGACCCUAUCUCAGCAGAAAAAAAGGGUCCACAUGACAAUCCAGGAUCUUCAUAAACAAGUCAUAAAAUUAUUUUAAGGGCUGUUGAGGUAAUAAUCACUACACAGUCUUAAAUGGAAAAUGCAAAUUACAAAAUGAUAGGCACCAUGAUUUUUUGUGUGUGUGUGUGUGAGUGUGUGUUAGGGAUGGAACUCAGGGCCUCAAGCAUGGUAGGCAAGUGCUCGGCCACUGAGCUGUAUACCCUACUCCCAAUCAGGCAGAUUCUUUUUUUUUUUUAUUAUUUUUUGAUACCAGGGAUUGAACUCAGGGGCACUCGACCACUGAGCCACAUCCCCAGCCCUGUUUUGUAUUUUAUUUAGAGACAGGGUCUCACUGAGUGGCUUAGUAUCUUAUCAUUGCUGAGGCUGGCCUUGAACUUGCAAUCUUCCUGCCUCAGCCUUCAAGAUGCUGGGGAUUAUAGGUGUGCCACUGUGCCUGGCUCAUAGGCAUUUUUUUUUUUUUGGUGGAGCUGGGGAUUGAACCCAGGGCCCUGUGCAUGCACGGCAAGCACUCUACCAACUGAGCGACAUCCGAGUCCAUCGGCAGAUUUUUGGGAGUUUCUCCUGUUUUUAGGAGCUUAGCCUACGGGAACACCGAUUGGUUCCUCACAGAAAGGUUUUUAAAAAGUCUGAUGAAAAGCCCUCCAUCUGGGUGGGAGUGUAGGUCAGUGGCAGGGCGCUUGCCUGGCAUGCGCAAGGCCCUGGGUUCCAUCCCCAGCACUGCCCAAGCCUCGUGCAGCGGGGCACACCUGAAGUCCCAUUGACUUGGGACACUGAAACAGGGGGAUCGCUUGAGCCCAGGAGUUUGAGACCAGCCGGAGCAACCCAGCCAAAACCCAUCUCAAAAAUAUACACAUAAAAUAAAAUAAACCAGGGGCUGGGGCCGUGGCUCAGCGGUAGAGCGCUUGCCUUGCACGUGCGAGGCCCCUGGGUUGGAUCCUCAGCACCACAUAAAAAUAAAGAAAUAAAAUAAAGGUAUCGUGUCCAACUACAACUAAAAAAUAAAUAUAAAAUAAAAUAAACCACCAAGAUCACGACAGGACCUUUGAACCACACGUGGGCGGGGCAGUUUCUAAGCAGCCCAGGUAGGAAUAACAGAACCAAACUGAGAUCAGAGCUGCCCUCCAAGAAACAGCUUGAGGGCUGGGGACAGAGCUCAGCUGGUAUAGUGCUCUCCUCAUAUGCAAAGGCCCUGGGUUCAACCCCAGCACCACAAAAAUAGAAAGAAAGGAAGGAAGAAGUGUAAACCAAGGUGCUGAAAAUUCAGGGAUCAGUUAAGGAUUGGAGAACAACUCUUCUAAUUACAGCUGUACCUGUCUCCACAGGCCCCUGUGGACAGCUAGAUCCACGCACACUUAUGUCCCAUCUAUAAAACUGUGUAGGAUUUGAGGGAACCUAUGCAGUCUUCUCUGAAUCUUCUCUAGAUGACUGAGAAUAUCUAAUACAACAGAAAUGCUAUAUAAAUAGUCGUUAUACUGUAUUGUUGAGAGAAUAAGGACCAAAAAAUUCACUGACAUAUUCAGUAUACGUUUAAAUACAUUCAAUCAGCAGUUGGUUCAUGCUAAAUUAAAAAACAGGCUUACAGCCAGGCACGGUGGCGCACGCCUGUAAUCCCAGUGGCUCAGGAGGCUGAGGCAGGAGGAUCUCGAGUUCAAAGCCAGCCUCAGCAAAAGCAAGGCCCUAAGUGACUCAGUGAGACCCUGUCUCUAAAUAAAAUACGAAAUAGGGCUGGGAAGGUGGCUCAUGGUCAAGGGCCCCUGAGUUCAAUCCCUGGUACCAAAAAAAAAAAAAAAAGGCUCGUAAUGAGUGAAGAGGUGGAGAUUCUGAAAUUGAAUAAAAGACAAUAUCUGAAAAAUUUAAAAUUCACUUGUAGGCGAAACGGUCACAGAGGAAAAGGGCCAUAAACCAGGCCUCAGGGACCUGUGAACAAUAUCAAAAGGCCUGAUACACGUAUAAUUUGAGACCCAGAAUAAAAGGGGGAACAUAAAAAUAGCUGAAUAAAUAGGCUGAUGCUGUAGUUCAGUAGUAGGGGUAGAGGACCUGCCAAUCACGCAUGAGGCUCUGGACUCAAUCCCCAGUACCAAAAACAAACACGCAACAACAACAACAACAAUAACAACAAAACCCCCGUCACACUGGGUGUCGUGGUGCACACUGCUUGGGAGGUUGAAGCAGGAGGAUGGCGAGUUCCAAGCCAGCCUCAGCAACAGCGAGGCCCUAAGCAACUCAGUGAGACCCUGUCUCUAAAUAAAAUACAAAACAGGGCUGGGGAUGUGGCUCAGUGGCCAAGAGCCCCUGAGUUCAAUCACCAGUACCAAAAAAAAAAAAAGUCAAGACAUGGAUAAUGGGGCUGGGGCUGGGGCUCAGCGGUAGAGCGCUCGCCUCGCACGUGCGA
rnacentral:lncRNA from 1 species